AACGAACGCUGGCGGCAUGCCUAACACAUGCAAGUCGAACGAGACCUUCGGGUCUAGUGGCGCACGGGUGCGUAACGCGUGGGGACCUGCCUUUAGGGUCGGAAUAACUCAGAGAAAUUUGAGCUAAUACCGGAUGAUGUCUUCGGACCAAAGAUUUAUCACCUUUAGAUGGGCCCGCGUUGGAUUAGCUUGUGUGUGGGGUAAGGGACUACCAAGGCGACUAUCCAUAGCUGGUCUGAGAGGAUGACCAGCCACCCUGGGACUGAGACACGGCCCAGACUCCUACGGGAGGCAGCAGGGGGGAAUAUUGGACAAUGGGCGAGAGCAUGAUCCAGCAAUGCCGCGUGAGUGAUUAAGUCCUUAGGGUUGUAAAGCUCUUUGACCCGAGAUGAUAAUGACAGUAUCGGGAGAAUAAGCGCCGGCUAACUCCGUG
rnacentral:rRNA from 1 species